CUACGUGCCAGCAGCCGCGGUAAUACGUAGGGUGCGAGCGUUAAUCGGAAUUACUGGGCGUAAAGCGCACGCAGGCGGUUGAUUGAGUCAGAUGUGAAAUCCCCGGGCUUAACCCGGGAAUUGCAUCUGAUACUGGGUCGCUAGAGUACUUUAGGGAGGGGUAGAAUUCCACGUGUAGCGGUGAAAUGCGUAGAGAUGUGGAGGAAUACCGAAGGCGAAGGCAGCCCCUUGGGAAUGUACUGACGCUCAUGUGCGAAAGCGUGGGGAGCAAACAGGAUUAGAUACCCUGGUAGUCCACGCUGUAAACGAUGUCGAUUUGGGGGCUGAACUUUAAGUUUGGCGCCCGUAGCUAACGUGAUAAAUCGACCGCCUGGGGAGUACGGCCGCAAGGUUAAAACUCAAAUGAAUUGACGGGGGCCCGCACAAGCGGUGGAGCAUGUGGUUUAAUUCGAUGCAACGCGAAGAACCUUACCUACUCUUGACAUCCAGAGAACAUUC
rnacentral:rRNA from 1 species